UUUGAAUAAUUAAAUGUAUGCAUGUUUUAAUUUGGGGCAUAUCUACUAAACUAUUUUUCAUUUUAAUUGAGUGAACUUUCUUUAAGAAAAAAUAGAGCUCAUAAAAUUUAAAAAACUACUAUUGUAUGGCCAAGUUAAGAGUAACAGGGUAUAAUGUUAUUAUCACCAUUUAAAUAACUCCUUGGGGUAUGAAUUGUGGCUCCAUAUUGCAGUCAAACAUAAUCUAUGUUCUAUUGAAGGUAUAAAAUACCCAUUGAUUGGACAGUGUUGUGAGGGUUAAUAAUGGUGUUGCUGCCCAUUCACUCCAUUAUUUACCGUAACCUCACUACCCACGGUGUGAAGAAAUUGGUUUGACCAGCUGGGGGGUGUAGGUGUGGACCCCAGUUGUAUUCAUCUGCACUGCUAGUGGGCAAAUAUUGUAGAUUGCUGUAAGUCUGCAUGCAAAACAAAAUGCAGGCGAAUUUGACUCUUACUAGAACAUAUCAGACUGAAUAAAGUACACAUUCUAUAUGCGAUUUGUAAUUUUUUUUUUUUUAUACAGUAGAAGUCUAUGCUUGUGAAUUGCUCACUUUGACCCAGACAACCCGAU